GAACACUAUAGCUGCGUCCGAAAUCGCAUACUUCCAUACUAUAUAGUAGGCGAAAAACAGUAUGCGAAGCAAGUAGUAUGUCCGAAUUCUUAGAAUUCGAAAAACAGUAUGCGAGAUGUACCCGGAUGGCCUACUACUUCCGGCCGAAUUCCGUAGUAUGCAUAGGAUGGACACUACUCUAUCCCAUGAGGCCACGGGAGAGGACUCGUCAUACUCAUAUUCGAAAAUAACGGCAAAUCGUGACGCCGCUGUUUUGAAGUAGACUGAUGAAUACAAUCUUGUUCUCAUCCACUGAUUAAACCCUAUCCACUGGAAAGCAUAUUUCAGUAAUCUGCUCUUGAAGAGCUGCACAUGGUCAUCUGGUGUGACACAGCUGUGCUCAGAUUGUCCCGCACAUGCUCUCCUGUGCUGACUUCUGUGUUUUGGGGUUCCAGUGUAUCAUCGUCAUGAUCUUCCACAACUUCUGGAUCAGCAAUGUCCUCAUUCAGAAGACCGAGGUGGUGGAGCACUGCACAGCAUGCAACAACAUCUGCACAAAGGCAGGACUCACUUCCAGGGCCUUGAAGAAGAAGAUGGAGCACAGCUGGUCUGCAUUAUCCUGAAGGCUCUCUCAACAAUGUUCUGUGCAUGAGCAUCAUUGGUGUUGAAUCAAAGCUGUGCAGGAUUGUGUUCAGACUCCCUGUCUGCUGUGAUGAGGCAGAUGUGUGCACUCAAACAAGGAUACCCACCAUCUCCCAGGAUGUGUUUUCCUGCAGGUGGAUAGGCCUCCAGUGUUCUUCAGCACCCUGGCAUCAUACACAGACCCAGGAUACUCAACAAAGAUAUCAAGGUACUUACCAUGGUGGUGACCUGCAGCUGAACAGAAUGAAACCGCUUCCUGUUGAAAUAACAUUGGGCUUCACUUGCUGGAGUUUCAAUUUGUAUGUGACAGCCAUCUAUUGUGUCAGCUACCAGAAGAAAACUGCUUCCACUGCCCCCAGGUCAUCUGUGGUGAAGAAGGCAAUCAGCCUCCUCAAAAUCCCCAUGACAGACCUGACCUGCUCAUUCUGUGCACAAUGUUAUGCAGCUCUUGGAUGUCGAAGGCCAGUGACAGCAGCCUGUAUGACGCUGUUCACAGUCUGUUAAUAUGUAGUUUUUGUUUUUUAGAAUAAAAUUUCAAUAGGUUACAAAUUUUUUUGCUGAUAUAUCUAAAUCUUAACUAUAUGUAUUUACAUAUGUGUGUAUAUUGUCUAUAAUGUAUAUAUUAUGUAUGUAUUAAUGUAUAUAUUGUGAUGUGUGUAUGUGUGUUUCUGUGUAUAUUUCUAUAAUGUAUUUGUAUUUAUGUGUAUAUAUCUGUGUGUGUGUGUGUGUGUGUGUGUGUAUGUGUAUUUGUCUAAGCAUUCAUUCAAGUUUAUUAAUUUAUGUUCGUUUUGUGUAAUUUUAUUUGUAUUUAUUUAUUACAAUAAAUUACUUUAUAUCCUUACAUAAAAUCAGGUUGUCAAUCUGUUCACAGCUGUAGCUGCUGUUAUUCUGAGGUAGAAAAUUAAAAGCUAAAUUUAUAUUUAGUAAAGGAUUUACAAGCUGUCAACGAAGGCAUGAUCUGCGAACAGCUGACCGACGCCUGCUUUGAAUUGUUAAUUCAAACGAUGUAAAAACGCAGACGAAAGCGGUAAGAAAAACGAAAGACAUCACCGAUGUACGCUCAGUAGAGGCUCUUUAAAUUUACGCGCUGUUGUGACGACGUAUGUCACGUGACAAUGUCAACAUGGCAGAUGUAGUACGUCCGAAAUCCAUUCAUACUACCCACAUUCAUACUAUAUAGAACGUACUUUUCUAACGGUCUAGUAGUACGUUCAAAUUCAAAUGUAGUACCCAGUACGCAGUAUUCGAUUUCGGACGCAGCUUAUGGCGUUUAUUUAGUCUCAAAACUCGCGCACGUAAAAUCUAGGCGCCGUGCACAGGAUACGAGGGCAAAGAACAGCAUCCGCGCGCAAAAUGCCAUCCUUGCGCGGGCGCAUUUCUGCACCGCGAGCGCUCAGAAAGUAUUCGCGCGCGUUUCUGCUCCGCGAGCGCUCAGAAAGUAUCCGCGCGCGUUUCUGCUCCACGCCCACAAAUACUGUCUCGCGAGCACGGGGCUGUGACGCACUCUCGCUCGUUCGGAACAUGUUUUACAGCACUCUCAUGAUCAUUCCCCACGCUCUCGCGCUCGAUCUGCUCUCACCUGCUGCUUUUGCUCGCUUGAACAAAUUUAGUUUUGGCAGUCGAGGGGCGGGGCUUACUGUUUUUAUAACCUCAAAUGUCAUUGGUUACUUCCCAUUUUCCGGAAGUCUGUUGUGAUUGGACACCUGUGAUUUUCAAUCAAGUACGUCAAAGGAACGACAGCUGAUAUAAACGAUCAAGAUUCGGCAAGAAAGAUGGAUAUGGCGUUUAUUUAGUCUCAAAACUCGCGCACGUAAAAUCUAGGCGCCGUGCACAGGAUACGAGGGCAAAGAACAGCAUCCGCGCGCAAAAUGCCAUCCUUGCGCGGGCGCAUUUCUGCACCGCGAGCGCUCAGAAAGUAUUCGCGCGCGUUUCUGCUCCGCGAGCGCUCAGAAAGUAUCCGCGCGCGUUUCUGCUCCACGCCCACAAAUACUGUCUCGCGAGCACGGGGCUGUGACGCACUCUCGCUCGUUCGGAACAUGUUUUACAGCACUCUCAUGAUCAUUCCCCACGCUCUCGCGCUCGAUCUGCUCUCACCUGCUGCUUUUGCUCGCUUGAACAAAUUUAGUUUUGGCAGUCGAGGGGCGGGGCUUACUGUUUUUAUAACCUCAAAUGUCAUUGGUUACUUCCCAUUUUCCGGAAGUCUGUUGUGAUUGGACACCUGUGAUUUUCAAUCAAGUACGUCAAAGGAACGACAGCUGAUAUAAACGAUCAAGAUUCGGCAAGAAAGAUGGAUAUGGCGUUUAUUUAGUCUCAAAACUCGCGCACGUAAAAUCUAGGCGCCGUGCACAGGAUACGAGGGCAAAGAACAGCAUCCGCGCGCAAAAUGCCAUCCUCGCGCGGGCGCAUUUCUGCACCGCGAGCGCUCAGAAAGUAUCCGCGCGCGUUUCUGCUCCACGCGCACAAAUACUGUCUUGCGAGCACGGGGCUGUGACGCACUCUCGCUCAUUCGGAACAUGUUUUACAGCACUCUCAUGAUCAUUCCCCACGCUCUCGCGCUCGCUCUGCUCUCACCUGCUGCUUUUGCUCGCUCGAACAAAUUUAGUUUUGGCAGUCGAGGGGCGGGGCUUACUGUUUUUAUAACCUCAAAUGUCAUUGGUUACUUCCCCUUUUCCGGAAGUCUGUUGUGAUUGGACACCUGUUAUAAGAUGAAACAUGGCUUCAUCAACGGAACAAAUGCGUCAAAUUCUGAAAAGGCAUCUUUUGGAGGAGCUUUUGAGAUCUCCACCUGACUUGGAUUACAUGGAGUUUGUGUGCCGCCAGCAGCUGUACCUCCUGCAAGCUCUCUCAAGACAUGCAGAAAUACCUUAUGAAAUCAUUCAGGCUCUGCAGGCAGUGUUUGAACUAGUUAGACAACCACCAUAUUCCACAGCUCCACAUGCAGUAGUGGAUUCAACUGUUGGGUCUGAGAGGAAGUCCAAGGUUUGCAAUUGAAAGAGAAGAGUUAGCAGAGAUGCUGCAGACAAACCUUCCUGUCCAUUACAUUGCAAAAAUGAUUGGUGUUUCCACAAGAACCAUCUUUAGAAGGAUGAACGAGUUUGGCCUUUCGAUCUCAGGGAUGUAUAGCUGCAUCACUGAUGAGGAGUUGGAUAACCUUGUGAGAAGCAUUAAGGAUGAUAUGCCUGUUGCUGGUUACAGAAUGGUCAGAGGGAGGUUGUUGUCUUUAGGAAUGCGUGUUCAAUGGCAGAGAAUAGCUGCCUCAAUGCACCGCGUUGAUUCAAUUGGAAUCCUUUCGAGAUUGGCCAGGUUGGGAUGUGUGGUGCGGCGAACGUACUCAGUUAGAGGGCCCCUUUCCCUUGUGCACAUAGACACAAAUCGAUACGAUACAACAUUGUAAUAUUUGGUGGUGUGGAUGGUUAUUCCAGGAAGGUCAUGUACUUAAAAGCAGCAACUAACAACCGGGCAUCGACAGCAUACCACUUCUUCUCAGAAGCAGUCCAGACAUUUGGCUUACCAUCUAGGUGAGUAUAGUAAAGAAAAGGCAUUUGAAUUUUAUGUCUGGAAAUGUAUUGUACUAUAACAAAAUAAAUCAGGGUCAGGGGAGACCAAGGAGUGGAGAAUGUACAGAUAGCCAGGUUCAUGUUUUCUUCAAGAGGCACGGACCGAGGAAGUUUCAUAUCCGGGAAAAGUGUCCAUAAUCAAAGAGGCAGAAGGAUUGCUGGACUUAUCAGUGGUCGAGGACCUUUUCAGUGUGCACUACACUUAACUCCAAAGACUUCAGGCAGACUUGGACACAUUUUCCGAAGCCUGGAAUCAUCAUCCACUCUCCUCAGAGGGCAAUCGAAGUCCAGAGCAACUGUGGCAGAUUGGAAUGAUGCACAUAAAUAUUGACCCAUCGGAGAGAUACGAGGACAUGGAAGAGCCAAAUCUAGACUGGGCAAAGCAGCUUCUUAUGAUGCCUGUGAAGAUUUCGGAGUUGUUGUUCCUGAAUUUGAAAGCCCUUUGUGUUCAGAUGGGUUGAGGGCUCUCGAACACCUGCUUAAUUCCACUGGUCCCAAUAUCCCGGUUAAAGAACUGUAUUUGCUUUGUCGGGAGUUUGUUUCAUCAAAUAUGGUGUAAUAAUUUAACAAAACACACCAAUCAAGCAUAAAGACAGUACUGCAGCUAACAGCUUUAUUUUGCAUUGAAGCCUACUGUAUAUUGUUAUACAUUUUCAUUUCCAAAUUGAGUUUUGGAACGAUACAGCAGCAAUCUUUGCUGCAUUUUUUUGCAAUGCAUGUCAAUGAUAAACAAAACUAAAUAAUAAUAAAAAA